AAUAGAUACCCUGGUAGUCCACGCCGUAAACGUUGGGCGCUAGAUGUGGGGACCUUUCCACGGUUUCCGUGUCGUAGCUAACGCAUUAAGCGCCCCGCCUGGGGAGUACGGCCGCAAGGCUAAAACUCAAAGGAAUUGACGGGGGGCCCGCACAAGCGGCGGAGCAUGCGGAUUAAUUCGAUGCAACGCGAAGAACCUUACCAAGGCUUGACAUACACCAGAACACGCUAGAGAUAGCGGACUCUUUGGACACUGGUGUACAGGUGGUGCAUGGUUGUCGUCAGCUCGUGUCGUGAGAUGUUGGGUUAAGUCCCGCAACGAGCGCAACCCUCGUCGCAUGUUGCCAGCACGUUAUGGUGGGGACUCAUGUGAGACUGCCGGGGUCAACUCGGAGGAAGGUGGGGAUGACGUCAAAUCAUCAUGCCCCUUAUGUCUUGGGCUUCACGCAUGCUACAAUGGCCGGUACAAAGGGCUGCGAUGUCGUAAGGCGGAGCGAAUCCCAAAAACGCCGGUCUCAGUUCGGAUUGAGGU
rnacentral:rRNA from 1 species